rnacentral:rRNA from 1 species
UUGGGGAGCGAAAUUUAGUAGCGAAGUUCCUGAUGUCACACUGCCAAGAAAAGCUUCUAGUGAGAAAGUAACUGCCCGUACCGCAAACCGACACAGGUAGUAGAGGAGAGAAUCCUAAGGUGUGCGAGAGAACUCUCGUUAAGGAACUCGGCAAAAUGACCCCGUAACUUCGGGAGAAGGGGUGCUGACCGCAAGGUCAGCCGCAGUGAAUAGGCCCAAGCGACUGUUUAUCAAAAACACAGGUCUCUGCAAAAUCGAAAGAUGACGUAUAGGGGCUGACGCCUGCCCGGUGCUGGAAGGUUAAGAGGAGAGGUUAGCGCAAGCGAAGCUUUGAAUUGAAGCCCCAGUAAACGGCGGCCGUAACGAUAACGGUCCUAAGGUAGCGAAAUUCCUUGUCGGGUAAGUUCCGACCCGCACGAAAGGCGUAACGAUUUGGGCACUGUCUCAACGAGAGACUCGGUGAAAUUAUAGUACCAGUGAAGAUGCUGGUUACCCGCGACAGGACGGAAAGACCCCAUGGAGCUUUACUGCAGUUUGAUAUUGCGUGUUUGUAUCACAUGUACAGGAUAGGUAGGAGCCGAAGAUACCGGGACGCCAGUCUCGGAGGAGGCAACGGUGGGAUACUACCCUUGUGAUAUGACCACUCUAACCCGCUGCUCUUAGCGAGCAGGGAGACAGUGUCAGACGGGCAGUUUGACUGGGGCGGUCGCCUCCAAAAAUGUAACGGAGGCGCCCAAAGGUUCCCUCAGAAUGGUUGGAAAUCAUUCGUAGAGUGUAAAGGCAGAAGGGAGCUUGACUGCGAGACCUACAAGUCGAGCAGGGACGAAAGUCGGGCUUAGUGAUCCGGUGGUUCCGCAUGGAAGGGCCAUCGCUCAACGGAUAAAAGCUACCCUGGGGAUAACAGGCUUAUCUCCCCCAAGAGUUCACAUCGACGGGGAGGUUUGGCACCUCGAUGUCGGCUCAUCGCAUCCUGGGGCUGUAGUCGGUCCCAAGGGUUGGGCUGUUCGCCCAUUAAAGCGGUACGCGAGCUGGGUUCAGAACGUCGUGAGACAGUUCGGUCCCUAUCCGUCGCGGGCGUUGGAAAUUUGAGAGGAGCUGUCCUUAGUACGAGAGGACCGGGAUGGACACACCGCUGGUGUACCAGUUGUUCUGCCAAGAGCAUCGCUGGGUAGCUAUGUGUGGACGGGAUAAACGCUGAAAGCAUCUAAGCGUGAAGCCCCCCUCAAGAUGGGAUUUCCCAUCACUUUAAGUGAGUAAGACCCCUGAGAGAUGAUCAGGUAGAUAGGUUGGGAGUGGAAGUACAGCGAUGUAUGGAGCGGACCAAUACUAAUCGGUCGAGGACUUAACCG